AGCUGGAUUAUAGUGGUGACAGCAAAAUUGGUGAGGCUCAGGAAAGUACCUGAUGAGAGGGACAUGAACCCCGACAGGAAAACGGCACUUGAGUUGUCUAUCCGUGCUUAUGCCGAAAAAUGUGAAGGGCAUGUCAUCAAUCCAAAAAUUGGCAUGGAGUUUGACUCGCUGGAUGAGGCGUAUGAGUUCUACAACCUAUAUUCAUGGGAGACUGGGUUUGGUAUACGGCUGGCAAAGAGCAGGCUCAACCGUGCAAAGAACAAGAUGUAUGCAAGAGAUUGUCUGUGCACGUGCGCUGGGUCCCCAUUGAAGGAGAACAGCCGUUCUUCAAGGUGUGGUUGCAGUGCAAUGAUAAGGCUGCUCCGAUCAAAGGAUGCCGGGUGGUACAUAUCAGAGCACAAAGCAGGGCACAACCAUCCGCUUUCCGUUACGUGUGGCCAGAAAAUGCAUUGUAAGUCACAUAGGCAUAUAGACAGAUACACCAAAGAUCUUGUGAAGCAGCUUAGGGAUAAUAAUGUUGCCCUCGGGAAGGUUUUCAGCAUUGUUGGUAGCUUCUUUGGUGUCGCGGAGAAUGUGCCUUUUACAAAGAGGUCGUUGAAGACAUUAUGCAAGAAGCUCAACAAGGAGCAGUCAGAUUUUGAUGCUGUCAAGACGAUGAACUUGCUUGGGGAGAUGAAAGCUAAUGAUCCAGAUUUCAACUACACCGUGUAG
rnacentral:rRNA from 1 species